rnacentral:lncRNA from 1 species
AUCUUUGUGUUGGAAGAGAAAAGCAACAGCCUUUGGAGAUGACAAAAUCGAAAUCCUAAUGUCACGUGGAUUUGGGGAGAUCUUGUUUGAAUGAGACUAGAGAGAUACUGUGAAAGAAUCUUGGACCUAGCUAUGCCCUAACUUCAUUGCAUCAUCUUUGAGUUGGUUUGUCACCUUUUUUAACCAUAUUUGUCAAACACUGUUUUUCCUCUCAAAAUCUUAAAAAUCCAUCAAUCAAAGCUUCAUCAUCACCACCUACUCCUCUCACCAUCCAUCAAUCAAAAAAAGAAAAAAAAUGGUAGAGCGAACACCCGACUUCAAACCAUAACGAACAUCUAAGUUAUAGCAUACGCUACGUUGGUUCACUUUCCCGUAGACAGGAA